GAUCAUGGCUCAGGAUGAACGCUAGCUACAGGCUUAACACAUGCAAGUCGAGGGGUAGCAGGGUAGCAAUACCGCUGACGACCGGCGCACGGGUGAGUAACACGUAUCCAACCUUCCCAUAACUCAGGGAUAGCCUUUCGAAAGAAAGAUUAAUACCUGAUAGUACUUUUUCAAGGCAUCUUGAGAAAGUUAAAGAUUCAUUGGUUAUGGAUGGGGAUGCGUUCCAUUAGAUAGUUGGUGAGGUAACGGCUCACCAAGUCUUCGAUGGAUAGGGGUUCUGAGAGGAAGGUCCCCCACAUUGGUACUGAGACACGGACCAAACUCCUACGGGAGGCAGCAGUGAGGAAUAUUGGUCAAUGGGCGAGAGCCUGAACCAGCCAAGUAGCGUGAAGGAUGAAGGUCCUAUGGAUUGUAAACUUCUUUUAUAGUAGAAUAAAGUGAUCCACGUGUGGAUUUUUGUAUGUAUACUAUGAAUAAGGAUCGGCUAACUCCGUGCCAGCCGCAGC
rnacentral:rRNA from 1 species